AACGGGAUUUAGUAGACAGAAGCUUCGGUGGAAGAUUACUAAUGAGAGUGGCGAACGGGUGAGUAACGCGUGAGCAACCUGCCUAUGACAGUGGGAUAGCCUCGGGAAACCGGGAUUAAUACCGCAUAAAAUCGUAGAAACACAUGUUUUAGCGGUCAAAGAUUUAUCGGUCAUAGAUGGGCUCGCGUCUGAUUAGCUAGUUGGUGAGAUAACAGCCCACCAAGGCGACGAUCAGUAGCCGGUCUGAGAGGAUGAACGGCCACAUUGGAACUGAGACACGGUCCAAACUCCUACGGGAGGCAGCAGUGGGGAAUAUUGCACAAUGGGGGAAACCCUGAUGCAGCGACGCCGCGUGAACGAAGAAGGUAUUCGUAUCGUAAAGUUCUGUCCUAUGGGAAGAUAAUGACAGUACCAUAGAAGAAAGCUCCGGCUAAAUACGUGCCAGCAGCCGCGGUAAUACGUAUGGAGCGAGCGUUGUCCGGAAUUAUUGGGCGUAAAGGGUACGCAGGCGGUUUAAUAAGUCGAAUGUUAAAGAUCGGGGCUCAACCCCGUAAAGCAUUGGAAACUGAUAAACUUGAGUAGUGGAGAGGAAAGUGGAAUUCCUAGUGUAGUGGUGAAAUACGUAGAUAUUAGGAGGAAUACCAGUAGCGAAGGCGACUUUCUGGACACAAACUGACGCUGAGGUACGAAAGCGUGGGGAGCAAACAGGAUUAG
rnacentral:rRNA from 2 species